rnacentral:rRNA from 1 species
CAGUCGCCACGGUAAUACGGAGGGAGCUAGCGUUGUUCGGAAUUACUGGGCGUAAAGCGCGCGUAGGCGGUUACUCAAGUCAGAGGUGAAAGCCCGGGGCUCAACCCCGGAACUGCCUUUGAAACUAGGUGACUAGAAUCUUGGAGAGGUCAGUGGAAUUCCGAGUGUAGAGGUGAAAUUCGUAGAUAUUCGCAGGAACACCAGUGGCGAAGGCGGCUAACUGGUCCAUAACUGACGCUGAGGUGCGAAAGCGUGGGGAGCAAACAGGAUUAGAUACCCCGGUAGUCCCUGUCUCUUAUAC